UCCUGACUGGCUCAGUGGGUAGAGCAUGUGAUUCUUGCUCUCAGAGUUGUGAGUUCAAGCCCCAUGUUGGGUG
rnacentral:tRNA from 1 species